rnacentral:rRNA from 1 species
ACCGCACAAGCGGUGGAUGAUGUGGUUUAAUUCGAUGCAACGCGAAAACCUUACCCACCUUUGACAUGUACGGAACCCUUUAGAGAUAGAGGGGUGCUCGAAAGAGAGCCGUAACACAGGUGCUGCAUGGCUGUCGUCAGCUCGUGUCGUGAGAUGUUGGGUUAAGUCCCGCAACGAGCGCAACCCUUGUCAUUAGUUGCUACAUUCAGUUGGGCACUCUAAUGAGACUGCCGGUGACAAACCGGAGGAAGGUGGGGAUGACGUCAAGUCCUCAUGGCCCUUAUAGGUGGGGCUACACACGUCAUACAAUGGAUGGUACAAAGGGUCGCCAACCCGCGAGGGGGAGCCAAUCCCAUAAAGCCAUUCGUAGUCCGGAUCGCAGUCUGCAACUCGACUGCGUGAAGUCGGAAUCGCUAGUAAUCGUGGAUCAGAAUGUCACGGUGAAUACGUUCCCGGGUCUU